rnacentral:tRNA from 1 species
GCCCAUUUGGCUCAGUGGAUAGGGUGUCAGCCUGCUGACUCACGGGUCCCAGGUUCGAUUCCUGUCAAGGGCA